rnacentral:lncRNA from 1 species
AGGAACGCGACGGCAGUGUUCCGGCCACUUCGCCUGCCGCAUUCCUUGAUAGAGUAUGGAGUGAAACUGGAACUCUGCAGCCAUUCCACGAUUCGCCACAAUCGGUCGUGCUGCACGACACCACGACCUGCAGUUCAACUCUUUCAAAGGUGUCCGACGCAGACGUCACUUUCGAAUACAUUGACGAGUUGUUGGCGGAAGAGUUGCGUGAUCGGCUUCGUUCCUUCCGGAGAGCAUCUGCUGCCAAGGAGGAGAGGUUGGGUGACUACUACAGGAUCCGGCGCAUACACAAGAUCUUGACCAUGCGACCCUACGAAAAGGCAGUGACUGGAGUCUGAAAUCACAGACGUGUCUAUUGACAAGGCCUCCGGCAAGCGAGCAACAGCUUCUGUCGCCACAUGAAAUUCUCGCUCUGCCUGAUCGACCCGACCACGGGACUCGUUUUAUUAUGACUUUAAUGAGACACACUCCUGUACGCACGCAAUUCCGCCGAAAUUGGGCUGAAAUCGGGUAAUUCAUUGUUCGUGUUUUCAAAGAUCGCGUUCUGACUGUUAAGUGCCUGCCAAAUUUUCCCUUUUUCUGAAUAUUUGUUGCAGACAGAACGAGCGGUACUUUACCAUAGUCGUUACAUUGAUGCAUUUGGUGCGCACUGCGCGUAGCUCAUCUGAAUUGUCGCACGAUUCAUGGGUCAUUGUUGCUUGCCAAAUAGUUUUAAUGAAGCCUUCAUCCUCGUCAACUAAUGGUUUGUUCUAUGUCGGCGUUACCACAUUGCUGUGACAAGCACUGUCUCCUGUGUGCAGCCAUUCAACCUUCGCUAAAGUUCUCUUGUGCUUGUCCGUGCGCGUUCCGUGACAUGCGCCUCUGUAUUUUUGCACAAUAUCUUGUCUCUUCGUUAAAUGUGUGGAAAUGCCAGCUCGUGCGUUCCAGUUCAUAUACAGGUUGUCCCGCAUAACUUGAGCCAAAGUUUUUAAAAAUGAAAGGCACUCCGGACGCGAGUUGAACCGAAUGCAUAAUGUUGGCACUGGCUUAGAGUUACUCGGGCUAUUUUUUUAUUUCCCCCUUAACUAAUGGAUUAGUUCAGUUUAAUUAAUCAACUUUUUCAGUAUUGGCUGCAGACCCCAAGUGUGACGCAAACUUGUAGAGCACCUUGAGAAACCCCUCAAUAAAUGGUUUCCAACACGA